AUUAAAUAUGGAGCCAAUCCUGCGCCUCAGUGAAGGCCAGAAGCAUGUUGGUUUUUAUAACAAUAUACAGUGAUUCAAUCAGAUUUUACAGAAAUUUUUAAGCUGUAAAUAGUGAGUAUGAGGGAUUUUUGUCAGUUUAUAACAGCAUAAGAGAGUCUUGGCU